GACGAACCGUGCGAACGUUGUUCGGAAUCACUGGGCUUAAAGGGCGCGUAGGCGGGCCGGCAAGUCAGGGGUGAAAUCCCACGGCUCAACCGUGGAAGUGCCUUUGAUACUGCCGGUCUGGAGGGAGGUAGGGGCGUGCGGAACUUCCGGUGGAGCGGUGAAAUGCGUAGAUAUCGGAAGGAACACCGGUGGCGAAAGCGGCGCGCUGGACCUCUUCUGACGCUGAGGCGCGAAAGCCAGGGGAGCAAACGGG
rnacentral:rRNA from 1 species